rnacentral:rRNA from 1 species
UUGGAGGGCAAGUCUGGUGCCAGCAGCCGCGGUAAUUCCAGCUCCAAUAGCGUAUAUUAAAGUUGUUGCAGUUAAAAAGCUCGUAGUUGAAUUUCGGGGUCAGUAGGUUGGUCGUGCCACUGGUAUGUACUGAUCUCACUGAUUCCUCCUUCCUGAUGAGCUGUAAUGCCAUUAAUUUGGUGUUGCAGGGAAUCUGGACUGUUACUUUGAAAAAAUUAGAGUGUUUAAAGCAGGCUAACGCUUGAAUACAUUAGCAUGGAAUAAUGAAAUAGGACGUUCGAUCCUAUUUUGUUGGUUUCUAGGAUUGACGUAAUGAUUAAUAGGGAUAGUUGGGGGCAUUAGUAUUCAAUUGUCAGAGGUGAAAUUCUUGGAUUUAUUGAAGACUAACUACUGCGAAAGCAUUUGCCAAGGAUGUUUUCAUUAAUCAAGAACGAAAGUUAGGGGAUCGAAGACGAUCAGAUACCGUCGUAGUCUUAACCAUAAACUAUGCCGACUAGGGAUCGGAUGAUGUUAAUUUUUUAAUGACUCAUUCGGCGCCUUACGGGAAAC